rnacentral:lncRNA from 1 species
AAUUCAUUUGGUGAAAACCAAAGUAUUUCCCCAGCAAAGAAAGUUAGCCCAGAAACGAAAUGAGGCAAAAACACUGAGUUUGGGAUUUUUAGUCAAAGGGCGGUUACCUCUCUGUUUAGCCAAUGAUUUUCCUUUUCAACUGUUUUUUUUUAAAACAAAAAUCAACAACCCUUGAACAAAUUGAAAUAUACUACUAUACGAUCAUUUCUUCAGGAUCAAUCAACAACAACAGCCAGAUCUCUCUUUCUCUGUCUCUGUUUCUGUGAUUUUAGUUCCUCUUUUUUGAUACAUUAACGAUUGAGGCAGUGAUGAUAUUUUAUCCGGAUUCUGGGCUAACUGGAUCGGGCAUAUCGACUAUCCGACCCGUAACUUGGCUUGGCAAAUCACCGGACGGUUAGCUGCCGAUUUGGAGGCUUUUUCUAUGGAAUCGGACCCGGUGACUUUGCAGCCAUGGCGCGGUCGCCUCUCUUUUGCCCGACCUCUCUUUGCAGAUCUGAGCCUUGUAAGUACUGUGAAAUAGAAAAGUCUGAAACUUGGAGCUUGUUUGGCUAAGCUUAUAAGCUUGUUAAAUUGGCUUAUAACCACUUUUUGACUUUAUGUACGGAUUUGGCAAGGGCUUAUAAGCCAAAAAUAAGCUAUAAGCCAACUCUUGUUAUAUCCUAUUCUUUAGCUUCUUAUUAUUAAUUUCAGCACAUUUUAAAGCUUUUUUGUACCUAACGUUAUCAGUUACUCUAAACGGGCUCUUAUUCUUUUUUUGAAUUUCAACUAUUUUUUGCUACUAAGCAUGGAAUCAAGUUAUACGUCAGUGGGCAAAACAAGAAUUGUUGAUGCUUUAAAUGGUUCUCUUUGACGCGAAGCAGGAAACUAAAAUAUCAGAGACAAAGAAUGAGGUAGCAGAGAGUAGAGGAAAGUUCAAGGGCAGCUGCUCCUCUGAGCUACAAUACCUAUGAGUUCAUUUUUGCCAUAAAUGCCCUUCUGCAGUAAACUAUGUCACCACUCUACUCUAUCGCCAAAUCCUCACUCCCAAAAAGAGAAUCAAUAGAAGUAGUAACAAUACUCCCUCCGGUCCACAAUAAGUGUGUUUAAUUUUUGAUUUUGGUCCAAAAUAAGUGUCUUGUUAGGUAAUCAAGAAAAAAUUUAAUUUGUAAUUUGUUUUCUCUUUUACCCUUAUGCGCAUAUCCCUAAAAAAAUUUCUCUCUCGUCACAUUAGCUUACUAAAUAAGUGUAGUUUAGUUAUACUAGGUAAUUUUGUAUAGGAUUUAGUAUUUUCUUAAUGAUGUGUUAAAAGUAAAAUAGACAUUUAUUGUGAACCGGAUGGACUAUGGAGUAAUUAAUAAUAAUUGUAGCAAAAAUCUGAGGCUAUGAUGAUAGUUUUUAUUCGGUCUCUGAGCAAAUUGAUCAAGGCAGGAGAACAAUCGGACCUGUAACUUGGCGGGGCGACCCGGACGGUGACGACUUGCAACGGUGUUUGCAGCCAUGGCAGUGUCUCCAAUCUCUUGCCUCAGCCUUAAUAUUACGGAUCUGAGCCUCAAUUGGAAGGUUAUUAUCUUAAAUGCAGACAUAUGAGCUCUUUUCCGUUAAAUUUUGAAAUUCGCAGGUGAAAAACCCUCGAGAAUUUCCCCUAAAAAUGCAAUAAGGUUAACUGAGAAAGAAAUGAGGCAAAACAGAGAGUAUUGGGAUUUUCAUUAGAAGGGUGGUUGCCCCUCUCUGUUCGCCAUUGAUUUUCCUUCAUUUUUCAGGAAAAAAACCAACAGCUCUUGUUUAUGACAGAAGUAGACAGCGUUUGGACAUAAGAAUUGUGAAAUUUCAGAAAAAUGUAAUUUUUUUCCCAGUGAAAUCUGUGUUUACUGUGUGUGCGUGUGUGUUUAUGUUGCUGAUGGAAGUUACAUAAAGAGUGUGCAUGAUGAUGUUUCUUGUAUCUGGGCUGACCGAUCGGGGCAUAGAGAUGACCCAACCUCUAUCUUGGUGUGGCAACCCGGUAUGGCAUGUGAUUGAGAUUUCUGUCUCUCACUUGUAAUUGGUGUUUUGCAGCCAUGGCGUAGCUGACUUCUCUUUUCCUUAUAUAACACAUUCAUGAUAAGCCUACUAUAGCAUGGACCAAGUUGUAAAUAAAUACACACCUGGUUCUCUUUGACACAAAGCAGAAAACUAAAAGCUCAGAGACAGAAUGAGGGUUGCAGAGAGUAGAGUGAAGCUCAAGGGCAGCUGCUCCUCUCUGCCAUUCCUGUGAUUUCAUUUUUGCCAAAAGUGCCCUUCUGCAGUAUACUCUAACCAAACGACCCCUUAAGUAUUUCGAUUGGCUGUUACUGUUCUAUCUGCUUAUCAUCUCCAAAUCCUCACUCCAAAAAGAGAAUCAAUAGUAAUAAUAAUAAUAGUUGUAGCAAAAACCUGAGGCUGUGAUGAUAAGAAUGGAAUGCAAAUGCUCAAAGAUAUAAAUUGGAAUCAAUAGUAAUAAUAAUAAUAGUUGUAGCAAAAACCUGAGGCUGUGAUGAUAUUUUUCUUCUGUCUCUGAGCAAACCGAUUAGGGCAAGAAACAAUCGAACCCGUAUCUUGGCGGGGCAACCCAGACGGUGACGUCUUGCAGCCAGUAUUUGCAGCCAUGGCGAUGUCUCCAAUCUCUUGCCUUAUCUUCAAAUGUUACAGAUCUGAGCCUCAAUUGGAAGGUUAUUUUCUUAAAUGCAGACUUAUGAGCUUUUUUCCGUUAAAUUUUGAAAUUUGCGGGUGAAAAACCCACGAGAAUUUCUUCUAGAAUUGCAAAAAGGUUAGCCUAGAAAGAAAUGAGGCAAAACAGAGAGUUUUGAGAUUUUCAUUAAAGGGAUGGUUGCCCCUCUCUGUUCCGCCAUUGAUUUUCCUCCAUUAUCAAAAAAAACCAACACCCCUUUGUUUAUGACAAAAGCAAACUGGUAAAGUUGCCUCUAUAUGACCAGGAGGUCGUGGGUUCGAGCGAUAAAACAACCUCUUGCAGAAAUGUAGGGUAAGACUGCAUACGAUCCCUUGUGGUCCGGUAAUCCCCUUCUGGUAAACCCUUGAUUAAGCGCUUGCUUUUUUUUUUUUUCUCAAAUGCCAGCUACCAUCUUCAUAUUUAUUUCCAUAUAAUUAUGAAUGUCAAAAUGAUGUACGAUUCCGAUGUGAUAAAAGUUGGAUGUUGUGAUGGUAUACUAGUUAGUCUAUUAUUACCAUUAUUCUUAUUGUUAUUAUAAUGGAUGAGGCUGUGAUGAUUAAGGUUAUCUAGAGUUCGCGUCGGGGCAAUGGAGCGGCCCGUAUCUUGGUGGGGUGACCCGGAAAGGCCUAUUUUUAUAGUGCGACCGAGGUUUGCAGCCCUGGCAUUUGCUUUGUCUUCUUUUCCCUGAUUUUAUCACAGUUUUGAGCCUCAAAAUUGAGGGGUUUAUUUGGCCCUUUCCCCUUUUAUAAAUGGACGGAGGCCAAAAAUUUUAGGUUUUUUGUGUAUAUUGAAGGACCAUAAUAAACCUCCUCAAAGAUGACGGAUCAUUUUUCUCAAGAGAAGUGUACGCUUCUUACGUACUGUACGGACAACAACAUCAACAACAACCACCUAGUAUAGUCCCACUUAGUGGGUCUGGGUAGUGUAGCGUAUACGCAAACCUUACGCCUACCUGGGUAGAGAGGCUGUUUUCAAUAGACCCUCGGCAUCCUUCCCUCUCAGAACUUCCCACCUUGCUCUUGGGGUAACUCGGACUAUUUGAUUAUUUUCUGGAAAACCUGCUAUAUUACCCUCCAUUUGAACUGGAUUAGCCCAGAAAUGGAGAGAAUGAGUCAAGAGAGUGUAUGGGAUUGUUUUUACAAGGGUGGUUGCCCGUCUCUGCUUUGCCUGUGAUUCUCCAACUUUUAAAACAAACCAACAGCCCCUAAAAUAGAAAAAAGAGAAAGAGAUGAUAGCACUUCAGUUUCCUGGGUUUCUUUGCAUUUUUGCACCCUAAAUGCAUACUCAAAACCCAAUACAUACAACCCAUAUACACUAAGAACUAUUUUGAUCAUUUUCUUGAAAACCUUCUAUAUUAGUAUAGAAAUGGCGAGAAUUAGGUAACAGAGAGUACAUGAUUUUUUUACAAGGGUGGUUGCCCCCUCUCUGCUUUGCCUAUGAUUCUCCUUUUCUAAACAAACCAACCGCCCUUAAAAAGAAAGAAGAAUUGGGGCAUGGAGAUUACCGCCCUUACACCCGUAAUGGAACUCAAAGACCCAAUACUGACAACUAUACUACACAACUAUGCGACUUUCAGAUCUUAAUAGAGGCAGUGAUUAUGAUGAUUCUUUUCUAUUUCUGGGCUAACUAAUUGGGGCAUGGAGAUUACCUGACCAGUAUCUUGGUGUGGCAGCCUGGUAUGGCCUGUGAAUGAGACUCUUCUCUCACACAUGCAACCGGUGUUCAAUGUUUUGCAGCCAUGGCAUGGUUGGCUUCUCUUUUGCCUUUCCAUGACACAAAUGAUCUUCUGGGGGAUGAGCUUGUGAUGAAAUGUCGAAAGGUGUCCAGAGUUGGUCCGGCUUUGGAGCAGCCCAUAUCCUGGCUGGGCGACCUGGAAGGCAUGGUUGCAACCGGGUCUGCAGCCAUGGCGGUUGCAUUUCUACAUUGACUGAUUUUAUCCCAGAUUUGAGCAUCAAAAUUGAAGUAAAAGCAUGUUUGGAUUAGCUGAAUUUAAGUAGCUUUUUAGCGCAUUUUUCAAGGGGAUGUUUGGAUGGGCUUAAAAAAAGCGUGUUUCGGGAUUUGGCUUCGUAGACUUUGUUGCAGUCUACAAAGAAACAGCUGGGCUACUGGUGAAUGAUUCUGCUCUUUGCACACGCAAGGUAAAAAAAUAAUGUGUUAUAUUGUUUUGUACUGGUUAGAAUUCAAAACUCUAAAUUUCUAAAAAAAAUUCUGUGUAUAACAGCCCCUUUCAGUAGAACUGUAAACUGUUAUACUGGGAACAUCAUUGACGGAAUUCACUUUUUCAUCAGAUGAUAUCUCUUUUUAUUUUUUCUGAUGAAUUCUUUGUUCAAGGUAAGCUUAUAGCAUCACCAACUAACUGCAACCUCCUUAUGUUUGUAAAUUUCCUGUGUAAUUGGGUGUAAAACCACUUUGAUUUAGUGUUAUUCUGCUUCUUGUAGUGUGCAUAGUUUGAGGGGAGUCAUUUUUUCAUGGAAAAUGUUUUCUAGCAUUUGUUAGAUAUGAAAGGGAUUAUGAUGAUACUUCUACUUCUUUCUUUUCCGUGCUUAAUCAAUGUGCACGAAAACCACCUCUAUCCGUGAUUAUACUUCUACUUCUUUCUUUUCCGUGCUUAAUCAAUGUGCACGAAAACCACCUCUAUCCAUAUUUUGACUUGGCAUCCAAUAUGGCUUGUGAUUGAGAAUCUUCUCUUGCAAAUAACCAUCGUUUUGCAGCCAUGGCAUGGCUUUUAUCUCUUUGCCUGAUGAUAACAUAGAACUGAUUCUCAAUGUUAAGAAUAUAUAAUAUGAAAUAAUAAGACAACCGGAUUAUAUUUAAAAUGUCUAUGAUAAUAAGAUAUAACCUUUAUUAAAAAGUACGCCUAUAUGAUAACAAAAAAUUUCUUAGGAAUGAUAAUGUACUCACUUAUAGUUAUUAAAUGACAUUUGAGAUUUUGCCUUCAUAGCCUCACCUUUCAUCCUCUCUGAUCCUCUUUCUUGUUUUUUUUCUUUUUUUUUAUAGGUGCUCUGGUCUUAUGGAUGUAAAGUUUGUAAGGGUGUUGCCUCCGAUCAGCAUGCCUGUGAUAACUCUGUAUCAAGGUGCUCUGGUCUUAUGGAUGUAAAGUUUUUACGGGUGUUUCCUCCGAUCAGCAUGCCUGUGAUAACUCUGUAUUCUGCAACUGAUAAAGCAGCAACCCUUCUUUCAUGCUAGCUAGUGCUCUAAUGGUUUUUCACUAUCUGCCAUAUUUUUCACACUAUGCGCUUCUUCUUUCUUGGUCCACAUCUUUUCCUUUUAACAAAUCUCAAUCACCAUGCGCAUUAUUGAUGUUUCUUACUGUAGGCCGUGAUGAUAAAGUUUCUUGACUUCAUUGGGUUUGGGUCUGCUGGACUCAUCCUGGGGGGUAAACCAGGAUAUUGUAAGCAGAGUCUUUCCUUUGUAGCAUGCCAUCCUUGUUUGCAGCCAUUGUGGUGUCCCUUUCCUUCACCUGAUUUUAUGACAAAUCUGAGCCUGCUUAUGUACUCAUGAGUGUCACUUCAUAGAUACAACAACAACAACAACCCAGUAUAAUCCCACUUAGUGGGGUCUGGGGAGGGUAGUGUGNNNNNNNNNNNNNNNNNNNNNNNNNNNNNNNNNNNNNNNNNNNNNNNNNNNCUGGGGAGGGUAGUGUGUACGUAGACCUUACCCCUACCCUGGGGUAGAGAGGUUGUUUCCAAAUAGACCCCCGGCAUCCUUUCCUCCAAAAACUUCACACCUUGCUCUUAGGGAGACUCGAACUCACAACCUCUAGGUUGGAAGUGGGGGUUGCUUACCAUCAUAGCAACCCCUCUUGUCUUGUCACUUCGUAGAUAGACAUCUAAAAAUAGAUGAAAAUAACUUCCUAAAGAAAGAGAAGGACAAUGGUGAAAAAAAGUGAAAACUACUUUCCCUUUUGAUGAAAAAGGUAUGGUUUGAUUCUUAAUGCAGACAUACAGGUGCUUUCGGUUAAAAGUUCUCUUGUUUGAUUAGCCCAGAAAAUGGCGAGAACGGGGCAACAGAGAAUAUGGGAUCUCUUUCAAGGGUGGUUGCUUCUCUCCGCUUUGUCUAUGAUUCUCCCCCUUCUCAACUAACCAACAGCCCUUAAGAGACAGAAAGAAAAACAUAGCACUUCAGUUUCUGGUUUUCUGGAUGACUAUUUGUGAAAUUUCCCCAAUAUACAAGUGUAUCACCACAAGUACAUGGCCUUCAGAUCUUCAGUCUUUCUGCUCAUGGCCCUUUGCAUGUUUCUUUCAGAGUACUCUCAUUGUUCAUUGUAAAUGGAAACUUUAAAGUGUUCCAUUAUAAUGCAUUCUACAACAGAAAUGGGCUGUGAUGAUGCUUAUGAAUCUUUCUAUUUUUGGGCUGAUAUUUGAGCAUUGAGAUGACCCGACCCGUAUCUUGGUGUGGCAACCCGGUAUGGCUGUGAUUGAGAACUCCUCUCUCGUGCAACUGGUGUUUUGCAGUCAUGGUGUGGCUGUCUUCUGUUUUACCUUGUCAUUAUACGCGUCUGAGCCUCAAUUUGCUGAAAACAUUAGUAGGAGUUUGGACAAUAUUCAGUUGAAGUUGAGAAAUUCUCUUAAAAGCAGACUUGUGAGGUAUCUUCGGUUACAAGCUCUCAUCUAAAUUAAUUUAUAGAUUAGCGCAGAAACGGCGAGAAUGAGGCAGCAUAGUGUGGGAUUUCUUUCAAGGGUGGUUGCCCCUCUAUGUUUGCCUAUGAUUCUAUCUUUCUCAACAAACCAACGACCCUUCAAAAUGAAAGAGAAAUAGAGACAUAUAAUAGCACUUUAGUGUCUGGGUUUCCUUGCAUUUUUGCACCCUUUUAAUUUCUACUCUCACGGACUAUACAACAACUAGGUGGCCUUCAGAUCUUUUAAUGAGAGAUGAUUUUUUCAGUAUCUGGGCUAAUGAAUCCGGGCUAAUGAGACAGUGAUGAUGAUCUUUUAAUUUCUGUGUUUUUGCACCCUUUAUGUGUACUCAACACACCUUCAGAUCUUCAGCCUGUCUCCUCGUGGCUUUGAAAGCUCAUGAAAGAGGCAAUGAUUAUGGCUUUUUUUUUGGUAUCUGGGCUAUAUCUAGUUCUGGCAUUGAGAUUACCCAACCCGUAUCUUGGCGUGGCAUCCCUGUAUGGCCUGUGAUUUAGACUCUUCUCACUCGUGUAAGUGUUGAAGAAAACUGUUGUGAAUUAAAAGUUGGAUUAAUUCUGUUAAGGGUGUACAUUGUGGAAGACAAGAGGGGUUGCUCUGAUGUUAAGCAACCUCCACUUCCAACCGAGAGGUUGUGAGUUUGAUUCUCCCCAAGAGCAAGGUGGAAAGUUCUUGGAGGGAAGGACGCCGGAGGUCUAUUUGGAAACAGUCUUACCAUAACACAUCUAAGUGCAUAGCAUAUCUAGGAUUUGAACUUUGUGGGUUCGAGUUGGAGAUUUAUCACAACACAUAUGAUUUACUGUGUUGAAAAUCAAUUAUUUGUUCUUAUUAGUGAACUUUUAAACUCAUAUGCAAGGUUCGAGUCAAAGCUACUGAGUUCGGAUGAGCCCAUCUCUGGUCACACCAUGAACGGAAACUGGAAUUCUAAACUCAAGAACAAGGAUGAAGCUGCCUGCUAGGAUGGGAAGUUUCUAAGGGUUCUCUAUAUUCUGCUGCUUUCAAAAAUACAUACGUUCUUUCAUGCUUAGUGGACGCUCUUAUGGUAUUCACAAUCUGCUCUAUCUUUCUCACUAUUGCCUUAUUUCUUGGUCAUCAUCAUUUCAUUUACAAAUCUCAAUCGCUAUACCAGGAUGGCUUAAGCAGCAUUUAUUCUUUCUUGCAUGGAAUUCUUGUUUGAUGCCAUGGCGGUAUUUGGGUCUACUUAUGUACUAAUGAGUGUCACUUCAUAGGUAGCUAUCUGGAAAUAGAUGGAAAUGGAGCAACUUAUACAUAUGCCUGCAGAAAGAGAAGGAAAGUGGUGAUUGCUUCAUUUAAUUCAAAAUUCCAGAUAUUUUUAAUAAGAAAAUUAACUGAUUUUAAAACAUACAUUGUUUGUUUUUUACCUACAUAAAAGAAAACUGAUAUACAUUACUAUUUAAAAAUUGCACAAUUAGAACCUCACUUUCCCUAAAUUUUUUGCGCAAAACCUACAUAAGGAAAGUGGACAAUCACGAAAUCGCUCAACCGUACGAGCAUGACUGAGAGUCUGAGACUCACGAAACCAUAUGGAACUGUUCCAAAUUGAGUGCUAUAUAAAAUAAAAUUCAAAAAAACAUUCGGUUCCUGCAAGAUGGCUAAUCACAAUGAUACAAUUAAGGAUAUAAUAAUUUCGAAAAUGAAAGGGAAGUUGAAAGUUGGGGCUAUUUGUUUGUGGGUAGUACCAGAUUGUUACAAUUCAAACGCUAUUUUCUAGAUUGAAUUGGUUAUAUAAGACAAAAAGAUAUUAAAAAUUUGAUACUUUCUUAUAUUCGUUUUGCUGACUCUAUUUUGUAAUUUGCAUGUGUGUAUUCAUGUAUCAUUGCUUUUAUUUUUUGGUUUUUUAAUUUGCAAAUCUAAAUUAAACUUUUUAAUUUUUAUGUGCGUAUUCAUGGAGUAGUUCGUCUGAGAGGCUGGCUCAAACCAUUUCUCAAUGAAGUUUCUCUAUUUUUGAUGAGUUAGUUAAGAGUGUUUUUCAGGUUAAAAUAAUUGACGAAUUAGUGAAGUCCUUGUGAGUGAAUGAACUAUUUUAUGUCAUAUUAAUUCAAGUGUUAUUUAAAGCUAAUAGUUGUUCUACGCACACUGCUACAAUAAAUAGCACAUACAUCUGAGUCGUUAUGCGAUCAAAUCAAGCUAAUUGAGCUUAGUUUGUCAUAUCGAUACAUAUGCGGUAGGGUCCUAAAUAUUAUGAAUAUUUUGUUGUACCAAUAACUAUUUAACAAUGAUUCUCUUUAGGUUGUGUACUUCUUUUAUCAGUCAAAAACCUAUAAUGUGAUUAGAAGGCUCCGGCCAAACAAGUCGUACACCUCUAUGUUGCCUUCAGUCAUGUCCUAGAUUUCUCCAAAAAUAAGCUUAUUAGGCAGUGUGCAAGUGUAGAAACUAAAAAUGUUCUCAAAAUGGAUAGGGUGGUACUAGGGGUGUUUAAACCGAAUCGGAAAAAUCGCACUAAACCAAAAAAUCAAAUCAAACUGAUUAAAAAAUCCAACUAGGUUUGGUUCGACUUGGUUUGGUAUUGAGUAAAAAAAAUUCGAACCAAACCGAUAUAAAACAACAACAACAACAACAAUUAUCCAGUAUAGUCCCACAAAGUGGGGUCUGGGGAGGGUAAUNNNNNNNNNNNNNNNNNNNNNNNNNNNNNNNNNNNNNNNNNNNNNNNNNNNNNNNNNNNNNNNNNNNNNNNNNNNNNNNNNNNNNNNNNNNNNNNNNNNNNNNNNNNNNNNNNNNNNNNNNNNNNNNNNNNNNNNNNNNNNNNNNNNNNNNNNNNNNCAAAAACAAAAGAGCAUUAGUAAGUCUAGCAGAAAUAGCGUAAAUAAUUAUCUAAACAUAAGAACCAUAAAUAAAAUAGCAUGCAAUAAUAUCAUACAGUAACUACCAAAUAUAUAAAUAUAUAACUUUUAUUUAUAUUUUUAAGACUUUAUAGUGAUUUUUCUUUAGAAAAUGUAGAAAUAUUUGGGAUCCUCUCAUGUAUUAACCUUGAACGCGUAAAUUAACGAAAAAUUAUUAUUAGACGACUAAGAAAAUAACUAUCAUGUGUUACUAAAAAAACUCUCCCAUUAGAAUAUUUUAAUAGAUCAUAUGUUAGUCAAUUUAACAUAUAUUUACUUAUCAAAGAUUUAUCUAUAAUUUUAACUAAGUAAGAUUGAGCUAAUAUUCAUGUAACAAAAAAAACCCCGAAAGCCCGACAAAAUCGAAUCAAUUCAAACAAAUAUAGUUGGUUUGAUUUGAUUUUGAUAAAAAUCGAACCAACCCGGUGCAUGUACACCCUAGGUGGUACCUAUUGGAGGCAACCAGAGAAGAAAAAUCAGCAAUUUGACUUUUAGAGAAUGUUCAAAACAGUAUCUUACUUAAGAGGGAAUGAUGAAGGGAUAGUAUACUAGCCUUAAAAUUUAACGACUUAUUUAUAUAUUGAAAAAACUUUUAUCCUUUGAAUUACCUCUAUAUCAAAUGAUUGAAUUAAUUGAGGAAGUUAGUGUACCUUCUCUGUUGUUGCAAUUUAUUGCCGUUGAAAGUUAGAUUUUUUGGUUGGACUGUUUGUUGUCUUGGAAUUCAAUUUGAUAGUGUGGGUUUUCACCAGAAAGAUGCAUUUCUUUUAUUUUCUAUGGUAAAAGUUAGUGCUUUCAUAAUGUUUACUUGCUAACUCUUUUAUUUUUUGUAGUUGAAUACCAAAUAUAUGCUAAAAUAAAUUUGUUAAAAUGUAGCGCUAUCACAAUAGGCAUUGAAACAAUCUAUUGAAAAACUCAAAGCUUUUUCCCAUCGAAUAACAUGAUGUUGCCAGGUUCCACUGGCAAUGAUACACAUAUUUUCCACAGGCUCUAAGGGAGAGUUGAGGGGCAUAAGGAGCAACAAUCGCUAUUGAUAGUUCCCGUUUGAUGUCAUUGUAGUUUACAAACCUAGAAAUUAUUUGUUCACCCUUAUAGCACCCUAAAAUUAAUGUCUCAACGUUGAGAAUAUGACAAGGCAGCAUAAAUAUAGAAAAUAGAAGCUUAUGAACUUUUAUUCGGAGAAACAACAUUCCACACACUAGCCUCCACAACAUUAAACUCAUUAGUGAGCUCUUUCUAGGGAGCUAAUCUUCUUGCAUGAAUUACAUAUAUGGUACUCAACAACAACAAAAACCCAAUAUAAUCCCACUUAGUGGGGUCUGGGGAGGAUAGUGUGUACGCAGACCUUACCCCUACCCUUGGGUAGAAAGGCUGUUUCCAAAUAGACCACCGGCAUCCUCCCUUCAAGAACUUUCUACCUUGCUCUUGGGAAACUCGAACUCACAACCUCUCGGUUGGAGUAUUCAGUUACUCUUUUAAUUCUUACAUAGCUGUGGCACCAUCUUGGUGUGUUAUUGAAAAAGCAUGUCGAUAGCUUUAUUGAUUCUGAGAACAACUAAUAUUUUUGUCAUGGAACAACUAAUAUGAACUUUACAUUCAGAUUUUUUUAGGCAUUGACUUAUGAUAUAUCUGACAAAGGAAAACUGGUAACUUAUAGUUGAAUCAAUAAUAGCGAGAUUUCUUAAUGGUAAAUCUUUUAUGCAUAACUUUUCUCUAUCCCAAUUGGAAGUAAACUGCCUUAUGGUGCUCGAAUGCUUACCAAUCGGCUUCUUCUUUGGAAUGAAGGGAAUGCCAAUAUCAUUCUCACUUUAAGGUAUAACGCUUGUCAAAUGUGGUUCAACCAUUUUUCUCGUGUCAUAAAGGUAGCAUUCACUAUCGAGUAAAAGAUUUUUUACUCUCAUGGUCUAUCAAAGUUUAAAUGGGUUUGAGCCUUCUUAAUCAAAUCGAUGAUUGGCAAUUAUCAUUUUAAAGUUUUAUGUGAAGUAUUGAUUUGCUUGAGGAUAUGAAGCGAUGGUCAAAUAAAAGCAGUUGAGGCUCAGAAAAGAGUUCCAAUACCAUGCGCAACAUCACAAGUGAUCAAAUCUCUGCGGUAACAAUCAUUUUUGAAUUACUUCAAGUACUUCUAAGUCGGUUGUAAUACUUGCAGAAGCCACACUGACCGAGCAAAUUUGUUAUGCAAACACCACGCUCAACUUUAGAAGAACUAUGCAAUUUUUUUUGAGAACUAUUCAACUAUAUGUUCAUAUAUCUAAGGGAGUUUUUAUUAUGUUUAGACUUCUUAAUUUAAUUUUGAUGUUUCUAUUUUCAAAGGUUCAGAUUGAGUAGGUAUGCACCUAUUCUCCGUUCUUUGCAUUUCCUUCUCCCUGAUCCUUCUUUUUCUAAAGCAAUUCGGUCUACAAACUCAUGAAUUAUAAACUUUAAUGGAAACAACAUGUGUUGAGCAAAAUAAUAAUAUUUCUACAAAUACGUCGAUACCACAAUCCGCUGGUAUCGUUGAAAAGAGAACUUCUAGAAUCACAAUUUAUACAAAAAAGGUCUUUUGUAGAUUUAUACAUAUAUGCCUUUGAAUUUAGUUAUGGUAUUCUGAUAUUAUACUUUUCACAACUUUUUGCAUCCUGACUAAAAAAAUCAAACCUUUCUAUGGACACAUCAAAAUCCCAAUUCACUUAUGCCAUUGAAAACAAGACUUCUAAAGUUACAAUAUAUAAUAAAAUUCAGGUCUAGUUUAUUUGUAUAUUUAAACAGAUAUCAUUUUGAACUCAAUUGUGAAUCUCUAUCAUUAUGCUUUUUCCAACUUUGUACGGCCAUACUAAAAAAGUUAUAUCUCUCUACAAAGACGUUGAAACCAUGUUCCGCCUGUGCCAUUAAAAAGAGGACUUAAGGAACUGCAAUAUAUAAAAAGUUGAGGUCCAAUCUUUUGUCAUUUAAUACAACUAUGCUUUUGAAUUCAGUUAUGAAUUUUUGGUAUUCUACUUUUCAUAUCUUUGAGCGUUAUGACUAAAAAAAUCACUUCUAUUUGAUGUGUCGUUAGAAAGGACUUCUAGAACCACAAUAUAUACAAUAAUCAAGUCCAAAUCAUUUGUAUAUUUAUAAACAUAUUCUUUUUUACUUAGUUAUAAAUUUCUGUUAGCGUGCAUUGACUAAAUAAUUAUAUCUCUCUGCAGACAUAUCAAAAUCAUAAUCCGCUUGUGCUAUUGAAAAGAGAUUUCUGAAACUACAAUAUACACAAAAGUUAGGUCCAGAUCCUUUGUAAAUUUACCUCCUUUCUUCGGUAAUAUCCAUCUUUCUUCAUGUGAAUUGUUUUGUGAUUGUUAUGUAUUCAUUGUGGUUGAACUAUAUUUUAUACUUUAGUUGUAUCAUGAUGGUUCAUAUAUCAGGGUCUUUUAAUUACUCUCAUCGACAAUUUUAACCAUCGUUGUUGAAGUACCAUUUUUCUAGGUUGAGUCUAAUACAACAAUUAUGAAGAUGAAUUUUGUACCUUUUUCUUAAAUAGCCAAAGUACCUCAAUUAGGUUCACAAGCAGCAAACAAUAUUAUGUAUUUUUGUGUCUUCAUGUUACUCAUAAAUACGAAGAUAUUGUCAGUUAAUAACAACCUCAAUAUGAGUCAUGGAAAAAGAGUUUGGGUGUCAAUUCAAGUGGCUAAGGUUUGUGUACCAAAUAUUUUAUUAAGUCAUCAAACUUGUGUUUCUACUAAUUAUUCUUUUUAUUGCUUUGAUAAAGUUUUUGUGCAAAUUUUCGAUACACUACUGCUUCUUUAUGAGGUUCAUAUACAUUUUAUUUUUCGUGUAUCAAAACUAAAAAAUCGUCACUCUUGCCUUAAUUGUUCACCUGUAGAUUCGUCAAGUCCACUAUACUCCUUGCCCCAAAGGCGGAUGCAACGUUAUAUAAUUAGGUAAUGAGUCUGAACCUCUAAUCUUAAAAUAUAAUAGGUUUCAAGCUAAAAAUGUGCACUCAUCCAGUUUAAAUUCGGGUUUCUCCUUACCUUGUCGAAGGCUAAUCAUGCUCGAACAUAUGUGAAGAUGGUUGGUGACACUAAUACAAGUGCCUAUUCAAUGGGCAUGAUUUGAUCAAGCUGUUGCUAUUUGGGAUUUUAUUUUGUGACUGAUUCUUUCUCAAUUUACAUUGACCUAUGGCCUUAAAUAUUAAGCCAUAACAUGCUUCACCGUUAAAAAAAAUCGUGACGGCCGAUAAAGUGCACGUUAAAUAUAGUCAAAGUCAAAAGUACAUAAGAAACAAUAAGUACUCCAUAUCAAAACUAUGAAACGAUUUUUACAUAGCAAUUUUGAAGUACAACAACAUAACAACAAUUUUGAAGUAGUUAUUGACAAUUUAUUUUAAAGUUUCCUUGAACCACUGAUUGACUUUAAGAUAUGAGGCAGCCGUCAAGCGAGAGUAAUUAAGGCUCGGAAAGCAACUGCAACACCAACCACAUGACCACAAUUGAUCAAAUCUCUACCGCUACGGUAAUUUUGAUUUACUUCAGACACUUCCGAGUCAGAUAAUACUUGUGGAAGCCACCCUACUCAAGCAACUUUGGUAUGCAAACAACAAACAGAAAAACCAAAAAUAAAAAAUUAAAUUCAAUGCAAUCAUGGAGGAUUGGAGGGUUUAUCAUUUCAAGUAUCAAUUUGAUUGAUGAAUAUAAAGAAGGGAUUUUUACCUAUAUAUACCAUAUAGCAAACCUCAUUACCAAAUUUGUGUAUGGUUUGGUAUUUACCUGCAUAUACGAUGUUUUGUUUACAAAAAUUGUGCCAAACUAAAAAUAGAUAGAUUCUACCCUAAAAAAGGCUCCAAAUUUGUAGGAAUCACAUUUAACGGUGAUUCUAUCACCAUUAAUUUCGAAAUUUAAUUUGAAAGAAAAUCUAUUGCAGCGUAAUUCUCUCCUUCUCCAUAUAUUUUCCACCGUUGAUAGCUAUUAAAAAGCUUGAAAGCUUUGAAUUCAAAUUUGAAUUUUCAAAAAUCAUUAUUNNNNNNNNNNNNNNNNNNNNNNNNNNNNNNNNNNNNNNNNNNNNNNNNNNNNNNNNNNNNNNNNNNNNNNNNNNNNNNNNNNNNNNNNNNNNNNNNNNNNNNNNNNNNNNNNNNNNNNNNNNNNNNNNNNNNNNNNNNNNNNNNNNNNNNNNNNNNNNNNNNNNNNNNNNNNNNNNNNNNNNNNNNNNNNNNNNNNNNNNNNNNNNNNNNNNNNNNNNNNNNNNNNNNNNNNNNNNNNNNNNNNNNNNNNNNNNNNNNNNNNNNNNNNNNNNNNNNNNNNNNNNNNNNNNNNNNNNNNNNNNNNNNNNNNNNNNNNNNNNNNNNNNNNNNNNNNNNNNNNNNNNNNNNNNNNNNNNNNNNNNNNNNNNNNNNNNNNNNNNNNNNNNNNNNNNNNNNNNNNNNNNNNNNNNNNNNNNNNNNNNNNNNNNNNNNNNNNNNNNNNNNNNNNNNNNNNNNNNNNNNNNNNNNNNNNNNNNNNNNNNNNNNNNNNNNNNNNNNNNNNNNNNNNNNNNNNNNNNNNNNNNNNNNNNNNNNNNNNNNNNNNNNNNNNNNNNNNNNNNNNNNNNNNNNNNNNNNNNNNNNNNNNNNNNNNNNNNNNNNNNNNNNNNNNNNNNNNNNNNNNNNNNNNNNNNNNNNNNNNNNNNNNNNNNNNNNNNNNNNNNNNNNNNNNNNNNNNNNNNNNNNNNNNNNNNNNNNNNNNNNNNNNNNNNNNNNNNNNNNNNNNNNNNNNNNNNNNNNNNNNNNNNNNNNNNNNNNNNNNNNNNNNNNNNNNNNNNNNNNNNNNNNNNNNNNNNNNNNNNNNNNNNNNNNNNNNNNNNNNNNNNNNNNNNNNNNNNNNNNNNNNNNNNNNACAUAUAUCCCAAUUUAUGUUAUUUAAUCCAUUAUUUUCCUUAUAAACAAGAGAUUCAUUAUAUGCUUCGGUAAGAAUGGGUUUGCACAUAAAGGCAAGUACUAACAUCUCAUAUGUACUAUUCCACCUUGUUGGAAUAUCAGUUGUUAGGUAUUUUGCUUUGUGAUUUUGGUUUUAAGACUGGUAUUUUAUUUACUUCGUAAUGUUCGACCAUACUCAUCAAUAACGGGUAUAUAUCGACACGAGCCACUUGCAUAUUUUGUUUACUUCGUUAUAACAAGGAGAAACCAAAAAAGCUUCUUCUUAAUUAUUUCUUCCAUAUAGAAAAGUUCUCUUAUUUUCCUAAUUUCAGGUUUGAAAUGAGUAAUUUCAUUAGGAAAGAGAAGAGGAAAAAAAGAAAAAAGGAAUAUAUGCUCCUAAAAUCAUGCCUAGAGGUGAAACAUAUGCAACCAAACAGAACACUAGGAAAGAGAAGUGGAAAAAAAGAAAAAAGGAAUAUAUACUCCUAAAAUCAUGUCUAGAAUAAAUGUAGCAAUUAUUAUACCCGUAAUUUGAAUUAUGGUACAUAAAUUGAAAUUUGGUAUGCUUAAAUGUAAUAAACACAAACCUUAAACAUGGGAGGUAAUAAGAUUUGCUAUAUAUAUAUAUAUAUAUAUAUAUGUAAAAAUCCCUAUAAAGAAAUGUCAUGUAAUCGAUCGAGCGAUAUUUAUUGCAUAACGUGUGGAGUCAUAUUUUGCUCUCUAGAUACGACCGAGCGAUAAAAUAGUAUUAAAUUGUGAUUACUAAAUAUAUAUAUAUAUAUAUAUAUAUAUAUAUAUUCAUUUUAAAGUUUUAUGUGAAGUAUUGAUUUGCUUGAGGAUAUGAAGCGAUGGUCAAAUAAAAGCAGUUGAGGCUCAGAAAAGAGUUCCAAUACCAUGCGCAACAUCACAAGUGAUCAAAUCUCUGCGGUAACAAUCAUUUUUGAAUUACUUCAAGUACUUCUAAGUCGGUUGUAAUACUUGCAGAAGCCACACUGACCGAGCAAAUUUGUUAUGCAAACACCACGCUCAACUUUAGAAGAACUAUGCAAUUUUUUUUGAGAACUAUUCAACUAUAUGUUCAUAUAUCUAAGGGAGUUUUUAUUAUGUUUAGACUUCUUAAUUUAAUUUUGAUGUUUCUAUUUUCAAAGGUUCAGAUUGAGUAGGUAUGCACCUAUUCUCCGUUCUUUGCAUUUCCUUCUCCCUGAUCCUUCUUUUUCUAAAGCAAUUCGGUCUACAAACUCAUGAAUUAUAAACUUUAAUGGAAACAACAUGUGUUGAGCAAAAUAAUAAUAUUUCUACAAAUACGUCGAUACCACAAUCCGCUGGUAUCGUUGAAAAGAGAACUUCUAGAAUCACAAUUUAUACAAAAAAGGUCUUUUGUAGAUUUAUACAUAUAUGCCUUUGAAUUUAGUUAUGGUAUUCUGAUAUUAUACUUUUCACAACUUUUUGCAUCCUGACUAAAAAAAUCAAACCUUUCUAUGGACACAUCAAAAUCCCAAUUCACUUAUGCCAUUGAAAACAAGACUUCUAAAGUUACAAUAUAUAAUAAAAUUCAGGUCUAGUUUAUUUGUAUAUUUAAACAGAUAUCAUUUUGAACUCAAUUGUGAAUCUCUAUCAUUAUGCUUUUUCCAACUUUGUACGGCCAUACUAAAAAAGUUAUAUCUCUCUACAAAGACGUUGAAACCAUGUUCCGCCUGUGCCAUUAAAAAGAGGACUUAAGGAACUGCAAUAUAUAAAAAGUUGAGGUCCAAUCUUUUGUCAUUUAAUACAACUAUGCUUUUGAAUUCAGUUAUGAAUUUUUGGUAUUCUACUUUUCAUAUCUUUGAGCGGAUGGAUAGGUCUUUAGAGAUGCCCCCUCAUCUAAAAAAUCAUAGUUCUUGUCCCAUUUUAUCAAUUUACGCAUUUAAAAUAAAUAUAUUACAUCACCGGUUCCAAGUUUUAAACCACUAGUUAUAGUUGAAUGCAGUUUAACUGACAUGUCUUACUUUAAUUUCAUUAUCUUAUGGUGUUGUGUUCAAUAGUAAAGUUUGUAUUCACUUGAUCUACAAAUUUAUUUGCAUUACACCUUUUAGGAUACAAUUCUUUUUCACAUAUUGAGUAAACGCGAUUAUUUCAUGCACUAAGUUACCUCCUAUAAUUUUGUAAUCAACUUUAUUUGUUGGUUUUAUUCUUAGCGUACGGUAGACGGGUAAAGGGUGUUAAUUUACCUCGAUUUGUAAGGUGAAUAUUUAUAAUAUAUUCUAACAAAUUGACCAAAAAAAAUGACCUACGAAUCGGUAAAAACAUCUAUCCAUAGUGAAACGGUACCAGGAAAAUUACCUAAAGAAUGUAAAAAGUAUUUACAAGAAUCAAAUUACUACUUAGGAGUAGUAACUAUAAGUAAGAUGUUGAUAAAUAUUACUCCAUGUGCCUUAAUUUACAUAAUACUUUCGCUUUUCAAGAUCCAAACUUCUUAAUUUUGCGAUAUAUUUGGAUAUCAAUUUUUUUAGUAUACCAAAUUACAUAUUUGAAAACUAUGUAAAAAAAGUUAUAAGUCACAAUAAUUGAUAAUUCAGUAUACUAAAAAGUCAUACGAAAAGAUUACAGUGAAAGACUAAUUUAUUUGACUCUCGAAAUCUGAAUAUCUUCUAUUAAUUAUCCCGAGAUUAGUUUUACCACCUUUUCAUAGGGAUAAAAAAUUAUUAUAGUUCCAAAAUUAAUAAUAUUGAACUUUUCUACCAACCAAACAUGGUAUAAAUUCUUCUUAGAUUUAUUUAUGAGAUUAAUUAUUUUUAAUCUCUUAUACCAAAGCAGUCCUAAAAUAGUCAUUACUAUUAGCUGUCACUUAUUAAAGUUCAUGGUUAGUAUAAAAUGAUAUUUAAAUUGUAUGGGGUCGUUUGGUUUGAAUACGGCUUAUGCUGGGAUAAGUUUUAUUGGAAUAAGUUAUGUCGGGAUUAGUUAUGUUAUUACUAUUUUUAUCUACUGUUUGGUAUAUUGUAUUAAAAAUAACAAUUACAUGAUUUCUAAGAAGAAGGUAUAAGUUAUCCUGACACUAAUUAUCCCACCCUCUACAAGGUAUAAGUUAUCCAUGUACUAAUUUUAAUCAUGGAAUAACAUAUACCAGAUUUGCUACUAAACAAAGUAUUAAGAUGACAUUAAAUUUUUAUACCAACACUAUAUCUAUUUAUAUCUCAUACCAAACGACCUCUAAGGGGUCGUUUGUUAUGAGGUAUCAGUGUGGUAUAAAAUUUUGGUGGUAUAAAAUUUUAAUACCACCCUAAUACUCUGUAUGAUUAGCAAACCAGGUAAAAGUUUUAUCGGUGUUAACACCGAUAUAACUUAUACCUUAUAGAAGAUGUGGUAAUUAGCACUGAUAUAACUUAUACCUUCUUCUGAGAAAUUAUGCAGUUGUCAUUCUUAAUACAACAUAUCAAACAAUGAAUAAACAAUAAUUCCAACAUAAUUAAUUCCAGCAUAAUUUAUCCCAAUAUAACUUAUUCCCGCAUAACUUACACCAGGAUAAAUCAAGUUCCAACAUAACGACCCCUAAAUGAAUACUCUAUAACUUAAGCUAGCGUUUGGUCAUAGAGUCUAAAAUUUAUUAUGAAAGAAUUUUAUUUGGAUAAAAUUUGGUUUGAAAAUAAAAAUGUGUCAAACAUACAUUUUCAAAACAUAAUUUUCAAAUUUAUUUUUUAAAAAAAAUGUAUAUUACUAUUAUUUAUAGAUAAAUUGCCACUUAACCCCUUCUAGAUUCUUCCAAGCAAGAGUGCAUUAUUAUAACAAGAGAACACAAAAAAGUAAAAGAUGGAAAUUCAUUUGGUGAAAACCAAAGGAUUUCCCAAGCAAAAUUAGUUUAGCCAAUGAUGUUGAAAAUUGAAAUUUAUUAGUCAAAGGAUAAAGAACUUUCUGCAUUUUGCUUUUGGGUCCUUAUUGUCACUGUACCUUUAUUUACAAUAAUAGUAUUUUUAUGUUUCUCUUUAGUACUUACAAAAAAUCAUGACAAAGAAUUUGAAAAAUUAGUGAGACCCCUGACAGGAGAAAGUCCAAAAUUACGGUGAGAAUAGAAGUAACAUUAAAGGUGUCAAUGGAUAUUCAAAAAUUGAAUGAACCGCACCGUAUCAAAUCGAUUUUUAUGUUUUUUUAAGAAAUCUUAUAUUUUUAUAUAAAUUUAUAAUCGCACCGAUAAUUAGGGUAGGUUUUUUAUAUUUUAUAAAAAUAGACUGAAAAAAUACCAAACCAUAUCGAAUAAAUUUUACAAGUGAAAAAUAUAUUUAUUUAAACACAAUAAUGCAUUGGGCCUUGGAAUUAUGAAAACUAUUACAAGUCAACAAGUUAUUAAACUCUAAAUACUAAUUCCUAAAAUCUAUUAUGCUACUUCUACCUAAACUAAGUUAUUUCAAGUAUCUUUAUUAGCAAGACACAAAGAAUUCUAGUGAUUAUGAGUGACAAACUAUAAAGUAUUGAAUAUGUUUCCUUUCUAUCUUUUUGAAUAGUUUAUCUUCUAUAGACUUUAUUCUCGAGUCCCAUCUUGGUAUAUUUUUCAACUCGUAUGAUUUACAUUGUCCUUCCAUUUGUUUGAUUUCUUUUAACUUGUAGAAUAGUUGAUGGAUCUAUACUCCAGCCAUCUUUUUUUUAAUUCAUCACCCUUUAAACAGUAAAAAUGUCUAGAGAGUUUUGCUAAAUCCUAUAAAAGAAGGUAUGUUAUUGCAUUCUAUUUCUACUGGUGAAUUUUACAUGAUAUCUAAAAAAAUAUCGAAAAUUAACCAAACCAUACCGAUACCGAAGAAAAACCGACAUGAUUGGGACGGUUUCAAAAAAAUUAAUUUUAAUUAUAUAUAAUAGAAUAAACGAAAAAAUGAUAUGGUAUGAAUUUUAUAAAAUAACCGUCUGAACCGAACCAUUAACACCUUUAAAUAACAUAAUGUAUAAUUAAAUAAUAUAAAUUAUAUAAGUUGGGUCCGGGCGAAGACCGAGCUAUCCCUGCUUACUUAGGACAUAGGAGUAUCAAAUUUUUACUGAUAGUAUAAAAGAAUAUUUAGAUUUAACUUAAAUUUAUAGAUAAAUUACCACUUAAUCCGUUCUAGAUUCCCCCAAUCCAGAGUGUAUUUAUUAACUAUUUAUAUCAAAGGUGAAAGAUGGAAAUUCCUUUGGUUUCCCAAGCAAAGAAAGUUAGCCCACAACAACAACAACAAUCCAUUGUAAUCUCACCAAGUGGUAUUUAGGGAGGGUAAUAUAUACGUGGACCUAAGCUGUUUCCAAAUAAAUCCCCGACAUCCUUCCCUCCAGAUACUUCCCACCUUGCUUUUGGGGAGACUCAAACUCACAACCUCUCGAUUGAAAGUGGGUUGCUUACCAUCAGUGAUGCUCCUCUCUACAAUUCCUGUGAUUUCAUUUUUGCCAAAUUCCCUUCCGCAUUAUACUCUAACCAAACGACCCCUUAAGUAUUUCGAUUGGCUAUUAUUGGUCUCUCUGCUAAUCAUCUCCAAAUCCUCACUCCAAAAAGAGAACCAAUAGUAAUUGGUGAGCUAUUUUAUAAAAUAUAAAAGUUUGAGAUAAAUUUUUAAAAGAUAUAAUAGUAAUAUUUUGUGUGCGCAAUUUAAAAUUUGGGAUUUUUGUAAAAAUAUAGAUAAAAUUUAUGGCGAAAUAUAAAAUAAAAUUUAAAAUUAUUUUGGACUUAGGACCCACGUGCUGUUCAUUGGUUCGAAGUCUUCCGACAUUAACCUUAAAGUUUGAUCCAAAGUUCCAAACACCAAAGUAAUCACUUUAAAUAAAUUGCCACAUAACUCCUUCUAGAUUCUUCCAAGCAAGAGUGUAUGCUUAUAACAAGAGAACACAUAAAGUGGUGGAAUUCACCAAAGGAUUUUCCCAGCAAAGAAAGUUUAGCCCAGAAAAAAAAAAUGAGGCAAAAAUAGAGAGCUUGGAUUUUUAUUCAAAGGGUGGUUGCCCCUCUCUGUUUAGCCAAUGAUUUUCCUUUUUCCACUUUUAAAAAAAAAAUCAACAGCCCUUGAAUUAAUGGAAAUACAUAUAGUCAUUUCUCCAGCAUCAAUCAAAAACAGCCAGAUUUCUCUUUCUCUAUCUUUGUUUCUGUGAUUAGUUCCUAACAAUUGAGGCAGUGAUGAUAUUUUAUCCGGAUUCUGGGCUAACUGGAUCGGGCAUAGCGACUAUCCGACCCGUAACUUGGCCUGGCAAAUCACCGGACGGCUAGCUACCGAUUCGGAGGCUUUUUCUUUGCAUGCAACCGGACCCGGUGAUUUUGCAGCAAUGGCGCGGUCGCCUCUCUUUUGCCCGAUCUCUCUUUGCAGAUCUGAGCCUCUUAGUUACGUACUGUGAAAUUGACCUAAAACUUAUUUUUCUUUGAAUUUCAACCAUUUUUUUUGUUCCUAUGCAUGGAAUCAAGUUGUACGUCAGUGGGCAAAAUAAGAAUUGUUUAUGCUUUAAAUAGUUCUCUUUGACACAGAGCAGAAAGCCAGAAUCUCAGAGUCAGCGAAUGAGGGUUGCAGAGAGUAGAGAGAGGCUCAAAGGGCAGCUGCUCCUCUCUACAAUACCUAUGAUUUCAUUUUUGCCAAAAAUGCCCUUCUGUAGUAAACUAUGUCCAAACGACCACUCUACUGUAUCUCAAAUCCUCACUCCCAAAGUGAGAAUCAAUAGUAGUUAUAAUAAUACAACAACAACCCAGUAUAAUAGUAGUAAUAAUAAUAAUUGUAGCAAAAUUCUGAGGCUGUGAUGAUAUUUUGUUCUUCUGUCUCUGAGCAAAAUUAUUAGGACCGGAGAACAAUUGAACCCGUAUCUUGGCGGGGCGACCCGGACGGUGACGACUUGCAACCGGUGUUUGCAGCCAUGGCGGUGUCUCCAAUCUCUUGCCUUAUCUUCAAAUAUGACAGAUCUGAGCCUCAAUUGGAAGGUUAUUUUCUUAAUCUUAAGAGCUCUUUUCCAUUAAAUAUUGAAAUUCGCAGGUGCAAAACCCACGAGAAUUUCCCCUAAAAAUGCAAAAAGGUUAGCCAGAAAGAAAUGAGGCGGAACAGAGAGUAUUGGAAUUUUCAUUAGAAGGGUGGUUGCCCCUCUCUGUUCCUCCAUUGAUUUUCCUCCAUUUUCAAAAUAAACCAACAACCUUGCUUUAUGACAAAAGCAGAAGCAGACAGUGUUUGGACAUAAGAAUUUUAAAAUUCCGGAAAAAAGUAAAAAAAAAUUCCAGUGAAAUCUGUUUUUUACUUUUUGUUUGUUUGUGUGUGUGUUCAUGUUGCUGAUGGAAGUUACAUAAAGAGGCAGUGAUGAUGAUGUUUCUUGUAUAUGGGCUAACCGAUUUGGGCAUUGAGAUGACCCAAUCCCUCUUGGCCUGGCAACUCGGUAUGGCAUGUGAUUGAGAUUUCUGUCUCUCACUUGCAAUUGGUGUUUUGCAGCCAUAGCGCAGCUGACUUCUCUUUGCCUUAUCAUAACACAUUCAUGAUAAGCUUGUUUGACUCAGAAGAUAUUGGAAACUUUUUGAAUAAAAUCAAUCAAAGAAAAUGAAGGGAUAAGUCUUAGCUAAGCAUAAUGAUCUCUAGAACAGAAGAUAGACCAGGAGAAUGUAGAGGAUAAAAACUUUUGUAUCUCCUUUGAAAGAAAAAAUCAACAAUAAUCCAGUCAGUCGUUUAUGUAAACACACACACCAGAGGGCAAGACAAGAUUAUCAAUGCUUUAAAUGGUUCUCUUUCACACAAAGCAGAAAAGUAAAAGCUCAAAGCUCAGGGACAAAGAAUGAGGGUUGCAGAGAGUAGAGUGAAGCUCAAGGGCAGCUGCUCCUCUCUACAACAACAACAACCCAGUAUAAUCCCACUUAGUGGAGUUUGGGGAGGCUAGUGUGUACGUAGAUCUUACCCCUACCCUGGGGUAGAGAGGCUGUUUCCAAAUAGACCCCCGGCAUCUUUCCCUCCAAGAACUUCCGACCUUGCUCUUGGGGGACUCGAACUCACAACCUCUCGGUUGGAAGUGAGGUUGCUUACCAUCAAAGCUGCUCCUCUCUACAAUUCCUGUGAUUUCAUUUUUGCCGAAUGCCCUUCUGCAUUAUACUCUAACCAAACGACCCCUUAAGUAUUUCGAUUGGCUAUUAUUGGUCUCUGCUAAUCAUCUCCAAAUCCUGACUCCAAAAAGAGAAUCAAGAGUAAUAAUAAUAAUAAUUGUAGCAAAAAUCUGAGGCUGUGAUGAUAUUUUUUCUUCUGUCUCUGAGCAAAUCGAACUCACUCCAAAAAGAGAAUCAAUAGUAAUAAUAAUAAUAAUUGUAGCAAAAAUCUGAGGCUGUGAUGAUAUUUUUUCUUCUGUCUCUGAGCAAAGCAAAUCGAUUAGGGCAAGAGAACAAUCGGACUUGUGUCCUGGCGGGGCAACCCGAAUGGUGAUGUCUUGUUGCGGGUAUUUGCAGCCAUGCUGGUGUCUCCAAUCUCUUGCUUUAUCUUCAAAUAUUACAGAUCUGAGCCUCAAUUGGGAAGUUAUUUUCUUAAAUGCAGGCUUAUGAGCUCUUUUUUGUUAAAUUUUGAAAUUCGCAGGUGAAAAACCCACGAGAAUUUCCCCUAUAAAUGCAAAAAGGUUAGCCCAGAAAGAAAUGAGGCAAAACAGAGAGAAUUGGGAUUUUCAUUUGAAGGGUGGCUGCCUCUUUCUCUGUUGCCAUUGAUUUUCCUCCAUUAAAAAAAAACACAGAAAAAACAGCCCUUGAUUAUGACUGUUUACCCUCGAAAUCGGAUAACAAUUGAGUUUGUAAUUGGUUUUAAGGGUAUGCGGAUUAAUUCGACAUAAAUGCCAUUUUCGAAAUUUUUUUCCAUUUUUUUUUUGGAAUUUUACAAUUCUUAUGUCCAAACGCCCACAAAGUGACACAUACGGAAAUUCAUUUGUUGUGAAACCAACGGAUUUCUCGCAAAGAAAAGUUAGCCCAGACAAGAAAGAAAAAAUGAGGCAAAAACAGAGAGGUUGGGAUUUUUAUUCAAAGGGUAGUUGCCCCACUCUGAUUAGCCCAUGAUUUUCCUUUUUCCACUUUAAAAAAAAUCAACAGCCCUUAGAAUUUGUUUGACUCAAAAGUUAUUGAAUACUUUGUAAGCAUAAAACAAUCAAAAUAAAUUAAGGGUAAAUCAUAGCAAAUCAUAAUAAAUCAUUGGACCAAACGAUAGAAAUGAAAUAUAGGCACAGAGAAUUAGAAGGAAAUAUACUGGGAGACUUCAUUGAUUGUGAUGAUUUGAUCUGCCUUUUCUUGAAGAUGUUCAGAGCCAUUGUACUUACAAUGGUGUUCUUUUCCCAUCAUUACAUGAGUAUCAUUUUGUAGUUUUCUGUCCCGAACAGUGUCGAAGAAGAAGCCCUCCUUAAGGUUCUCUUUCUUGAUAUUUAUAGCUGUGAGCUCCAUGAGCUGGCAAUGAGUGGUCGUAGUUAUGUUGAGGAUCCGUAUCCAUAGCGCGGAAGGGCCGUAACCCAUUCGCUUAUCUCGGAGUCAAUUGCAAUCAUUUUAGAGUGGUCAUAUCAAUUAUCAGUCAUGGAUCUGACUAGGGCGGAGCUGUUUUCGUAACCGCUGUAAGGUCAGAUUUUUACCAAUACAGAAUUCCUGGAAAUACAUACUAUUAUACCGUCAUUUCUUCAGCAUCAAUCAACAACAACGGCCGGAUCUCUCUUUUCUCUGUCUCUGAUUCUGUGAUUUUAGUUCCUCUUUUUUGAUACAUAACAAUUGAUGCAGUGAUGAUAUUUUAUCCAGAUUCUGGGCUAACUCUGGGCUAACUGGGUCGGUCAUAGAGACUAUAUGACCUGUAACUUGGCUUGGCAAAUCACCGACGGUUAGUUGACGAUUUGGAGGCUUUUUCUUUGAUGCAACCGGUGAUUUUGCAGCCAUGUCGCAGUCGACUCUCUUUUGCCAGAUCUCUCUUUGCACGUCUGAGCCUCGUAAAUACUGUGAAAUAGAAACAUCUAAAACUUAUUCUUCUUUGAAUUUGAACUACUUUUUGCUCCUAAGCAUGGAAUCAAGUUGUACGUCAGUGAGCAAAACAAGAAUUGUUGACACUUUAAAUAGUUCUCUUUGACACAGAGCAGAAAACCAAAAGGUGAGAGAUAGUGAAUGAGGGUUGCAGAGAGUAGAGGGAAGCUCAAAGGGCAGCUGCUUCUCUCUACAAUACGUAUGACUUCAUUUUUGCCAAAAAUGCCCUUCUGCAGUAAACUAUGUCCAAACGACCACUCUACAGUAUCUCCGAAUCCUCACUCCCAAAAAGAGAAUAGUAGUUAUAAUAAUACUAAUUGUAGCAAAAAUUUGAGGUUGUGAUGAUAAUUUGUUCUUCUGUCUCUGAGCAAAUUGAUUAGGGCAGGAGAACAAUGGGACCCGUAUCUUGGUGGGGCGACACGUACAGUGACGACUUGCAUCGGUGUUUGCAGCCAUGGCGGUGUCUCCAAUCUCUUGCCCUAUCUUCAAUAUUACAGAUCUGAGCCUCAAUUGGAAAG